UGAAAAUCACCAGGGGCUGUCAGAGUUGGGUCCUCUGAAAAAUUUACAGUGCUAAAUCAGAGCAUAUGCUGUGAGAGAGGGGAAAAAAAAUGCUUAAGAUUGGAGCAAGUACAGUAUCUGGCUGCCCCCUAGUGUAAGACUCUUAUCUGCCUAAAAUUCAACUUUCAAAGAAAAGGAUCUCUUAAAGGGAAACGACUUUUGGCUCACGUAUGCAUGCGAGAAUGAAACUUCUGUACAUUUUAAUCUGAUUAAUACCUAAGGAUUUCAGAUUAAUUGACUUGGGCACUCCUAGACCGGACUCUAACAUUUCUGCUGCAGGGCUCCCUUCAAGAAGCCCUGUAUUCAAUAGAUGUUAUCUCCGCUCAGAACGGUUUCCUCCUAAAUUAAACAGACUGGUGAAGAUAUGAGAAGCAUCUUGAGCCAAAUAUAUACAGAUUUGUACACAGAAGCCUUCUGAUCCCCGAGCAACCCACAGUAAAAUCUUGUCACAACGGAAUAAUAAACAUUUAUCAUAUUUUUCAACUUUCCAAAGUUCGUAGUGUACCAAGACAAUUGCAACUGGCUCUCUUCGUUUGUCUCUCAGAUGCAGAAAGCAACAGCACAAUAUUGUGCCAUAAUGAAUUCUUCAUCAUGAUUGAAAAAGUGCAAAAGGGAAACAUGUUUAAUAGGCUGAAAAAUAAGAAAGACCAGCUAAUGGAAGAGAGCCACCAGAUCUCGUUCUUAGAGAGAAGCACUCUUGCAUCAUACCGUCUGUUGGGAGGGAGAGAUGUGGAGACACAACGGAACGACGUUGAAUGUUUUCUGUGUGUGUGUGCAUGCGCACACGUGAGUGAGACCCGAU
rnacentral:lncRNA from 1 species